rnacentral:rRNA from 1 species
AGCGAACGCUGGCGGCAGGCCUAACACAUGCAAGUCGAACGAAGUCUUCGGACUUAGUGGCGGACGGGUGAGUAACACGUGGGAACGUGCCCUUUGGUACGGAAUAACUCAGGGAAACUUGAGCUAAUACCGUAUGUGCCCUUCGGGGGAAAGAUUUAUCGCCAUUGGAGCGGCCCGCGUCUGAUUAGCUAGUUGGUGGUGUAAUGGACCACCAAGGCGACGAUCAGUAGCUGGUCUGAGUGGAUGAUCAGCCACAUUGGGACUGAGACACGGCCCAAACUCCUACGGGAGGCAGCAGUGGGGAAUCUUGCGCAAUGGGCGAAAGCCUGACGCAGCCAUGCCGCGUGAAUGAUGAAGGUCUUAGGAUUGUAAAAUUCUUUCACCGGGGACGAUAAUGACGGUACCCGGAGAAGAAGCCCCGGCUAACUUCGUGCCAGCCGCCGCCGUAAAAC